rnacentral:rRNA from 1 species
GUCGAACGGACUUAAGGGGCUUGCUUCUUAAGUUAGUGGCGCACGGGUGAGUAAUAUAUAGCUAACCUGCCCUUUAGUGGGGGACAACAGUUGGAAACGACUGCUAAUACCCUAUACUCCUUCUUACUAUAAGGUAAGUUGGGAAAGAUUUAUCGCUAAAGGAUGGGGCUUUAUUGUAUCAGCUAGUUGGUGGGGUAAUGGCCUACCAAGGCUAUGACGCAUACCUGGUCUGAGAGGAUGAUCAGGCACACUGGAACUGAGACACGGUCCAGACUCCUACGGGAGGCAGCAGUGGGGAAUAUUGCACAAUGGAGGAAACUCUGAUGCAGCAACGCCGCGUGGAGGAUGACGCAUUUCGGUGUGUAAACUCCUUUUAUAGGGGAAGAUAAUGACGGUACCCUAUGAAUAAGCACCGGCUAACUCCGUGCCAGCAGCCGCGGUAAUACGGAGGGUGCAAGCGUUACUCGGAAUCACUGGGCGUAAAGGAUGCGUAGGCUGGAAAUCAAGUCGAGAGUGAAAUCCAACGGCUCAACCGUUGAACUGCUCUCGAAACUGGUUACCUAGAAUAUGGGAGAGGUAGAUGGAAUUAGUGGUGUAGGGGUAAAAUCCGUAGAUAUCACUAGGAAUACCGAUUGCGAAGGCGAUCUACUGGAACAUUAU